UACGUAGGGGGCAAGCGUUGUCCGGAAUUAUUGGGCGUAAAGAGCGCGUAGGCGGUCCGAUAAGUCGGCUGUGAAAGUCUAGGGCUCAACCCUGGAAAGCCGGCCGAUACUGUCGGACUAGAGUCCGGAAGAGGCAAGUGGAAUUCCCGGUGUAGCGGUGAAAUGCGUUGAGAUCGGAAGGAACGCCCGUGGCGAAAGCGAGGUCCUGGACGUCCGCUGACGCUGAGACGCGAAAGCCAGGGGAGCGAACGGG
rnacentral:rRNA from 1 species